rnacentral:rRNA from 1 species
UACGUAGGUGGCGAGCGUUGUCCGGAAUUACUGGGCGUAAAGAGUAUGUAGGCGGAUGCCUAAGUCAGAUGUGAAAUUCCCGGGCUUAACCUGGGCGCUGCAUUUGAAACUGGGCAUCUAGAGUGCAGGAGAGGAAAGUGGAAUUCCUAGUGUAGCGGUGAAAUGCGUAGAGAUUAGGAAGAACACCAGUGGCGAAGGCGACUUUCUGGACUGUAACUGACGCUGAGAUACGAAAGCGUGGGGAGCAAACAGG